GAAGAAAGACUAUUUUGUUUCUGAUUGCAGGGGUCCUUGGGGCAUAUUAUGUUUAUACUCCUCUCUCAGAUAAUAUUGAGGAACUCUGGUGACUGGUGUGGAUAGCUACACCUGUGAAAAUGGUAACAAAUUUGCUCAUAGAAGACCCAGAUGUCAAGAUCAAACUCAAGCUUCAGUCUUUAAUAUAUCCUGCCCUUCAGACGCUUGACAUGGAUUUACUAUCACAUCAGAAAAAACUAGACUCUCUAGUUCUGUCCAAACCAUUCAUGGUCAGGUUCUGUAGGGAAUACUUUACCACAGACAGAUCACUUGAAAAAGUCAUGUUCUUCAACAUGUACCAAUGGAAUCAAACCAUCUGUUCAGAUUUGUUAAUUGGAGUUCCUUGCUCACUGAGAAGUUUAAGAAAGGCCACUUUUGUUAUAUUCCAACUCGUGGUAGUUCUGAGCUAGCUAAAAAAUAUCCAGGGUUCCUAGAUGUGAGGGCAGCCCCUUUGUUGGCCAAUGACAAGUUACAUGGUUUACCCCUGUCCUAUAUCAUCACCUGUCAAUAUGACAUCUUAAGAGAUGAUGGACUCAUGUACAUCACGCGACUUUAGAACUCUGGAGUUCAAGUGACACAUAACCACAGUGAAGAUGGAUUCCAUGGAGCACUUUCCUAUAAUGGGCUUAAAAUUGAGUAUGGAAUAGAAAAUCAGUAUAUGAGUUGGCUAAGUGAAAAUCU
rnacentral:lncRNA from 1 species